AUGGCGACCGGCGCAUGGGUGAGUAACACGUAUCCAACCUGCCGAUAACUCGGGGAUAGCCUUUCGAAAGAAAGAUUAAUACCCGAUGGCAUAAUUAGACCGCAUGGUCUUAUUAUUAAAGAAUUUCGGUUAUCGAUGGGGAUGCGUUCCAUUAGGCAGUUGGUGAGGUAACGGCUCACCAAACCUUCGAUGGAUAGGGGUUCUGAGAGGAAGGUCCCCCACAUUGGAACUGAGACGCGGUCCAA
rnacentral:rRNA from 1 species